UUAAUUCCAUCUGUGAAUUCUACCCCACUCAGAAGGGGGUGGAUGGAAAAUGUAUGAGACACUCAUAAACAGAGCAGUCAAUGAUUACAUGCUAUUUGAAAUAACCUCACAAAGGUGGGCAGAUAAACCUGAGAGAGCGCAGUGAAGGGAAGAAAACUAUAGGAUUCAUGGAAUAAUUAGUUGAUUUCCCUACAAAUAAUAGGGCAUUUCAUUACCGGCAGACCACAUCCAGCUGUCUGGGCCACAAAUCUCUCCACCUGAAGAAGAGAAAAAUGAACCAAUCCAUUCCUAUCAUACAAAAUGCCAGGGUUUCUAAAAAUAAAUUCUUUCCCUUUCCAUGGGUUUGAGACCUGACCCCAUUACAUAAAUAGGGGAGAUUUUUUAGCCAUCUCCUGAGUGCUUUUUCAUCUAUGGAGUUUUCUAUACUUAAGUUAGCAUUUGAUCUAUAUUUUAAACCAGGAAAGGACAGGAAAAUGUAGUCAAAUUUUAUUUUUAAAGGAACUGCAGAUUCCUCCUUCAGCUGUGCCCAUUUUCUAAUGCGAGGACACGCCUUUCUUUUGAAUGAGAUGAGUUUUCCAAGGUGACUUCUCAGACCAAUUUAAUUCACUACCUGCCAGAAACUGUUGCUGAAAAUAACUGACCUCAGAGGUUUUCCAAUAGAUUCUGAAAUAAUAAAUAAAAUAAUAACAUACAGACAUCCAAGAUUAAAUGUGCAACUUCCUCAAAAAACACAGGAGUAAAGUGCCAGUUUUUCCUCAAUAUGCCACAUGUACUAGAUUGGAAUGAUGACAUACAUGAUCAUAAACUAUUCAGAAGUUCACAACAAGUUAGUGACUGAAUGUUAAAGCUCAACAUAAUUCACAGUAACUAAUUUGAUGUUAAUUUAUUUUUCUGACCAUGAAUUAUUUGCAAGUAGUUUGCAGUUUUCUUAAUGCUUCCUUUUAAACCUUUUCCUAAACCUUUUUACAAUUUUAAGUUUGUAAUUUGCUACAGACAUUCAUGCACAAAUCAAUGCUGAUAAAAAUGGUUAAACUGCUUACCAUGCCAACCAACACUGCCUUGCUAUGUUCCAAUAUAUUGUUUUCUCUUGGCUCAAUUUGAGAACUCUUUGGGGCUGGUCUUAUUUUCUUUUUCCUGGUGUCUGUACAUUAUCUAGUAAAAUGCUAUGGUAAUACAAAUAGGAAUGCUACUAUUUCUCAUUAGCUGUGUAAACCUUCUACUUAGCUAUCCUUUACUACUGCUAUCAACACUAUCUGUGGCCCUUCUAAAGCAAGGGCAGGCAAAAU